rnacentral:rRNA from 1 species
UUUCCCGGUUGAUCCUGCCGGACCUGACUGCUAUCGGAUUGGUACUAAGCCAUGCGAGUCGUUGUAGCAAUACAAGGCGGACGGCUCAGUAACACGUAGUCAACCUAACCUAUGGACGUGGAUAACCUCGGGAAACUGAGAAUAAACCGCGAUAGAUCAUUAUGCCUGGAAUGGCUUAUGGUUCAAACAAUUUAUUGCCGUAGGAUGGGACUGCGGCCUAUCAGCUUGUUGGUGGGGUAAUGGCCCACCAAGGCUAUAACAGGUACGGGCUCUGAGAGGAGAAGCCCGGAGAUGGGUACUGAGACACGGACCCAGGCCCUAUGGGGCGCAGCAGGCGAGAAACCUUAGCAAUGUGCGAAAGCACGACUAGGUUAAUCCGAGUGAUUUCUGUUGAAGAAAUCUUUUGUCAGUCGUAAAACCACAGACGAAUAAGGGGUGGGCAAGUCUGGUGUCAGCCGCCGCGGUAAUACCAGCACCUCGAGUGGUCA